GCGCUUACUUCACAGCAUGUGUACUAAAAGUAGAAUGACACACAGAAGAUGGGCAUGGCCUCUGCACAAGGACGACAUGGAAAUUCGUGAAGUGUUCCACACUUUU